UACGUAGGGGGCUAGCGUUGUCCGGAAUCAUUGGGCGUAAAGGGCGCGUAGGCGGCUUAACAAGUCACUUGUGAAAUCUCCGGGCUUAACUCGGAACGGCCAAGUGAAACUGUCAAGCUAGAGUGCAGGAAGGGGCAAUCGGAAUUCUUGGUGUAGCGGUGAAAUGCGUAGAUAUCAAGAGGAACACCUGAGGUGAAGACGGGUUGCUGGGCUGACACUGACGCUGAGGCGCGAAAGCCAGGGGAGCAAACGGG
rnacentral:rRNA from 1 species